CGUACUUCUAUUCUUCUUCUUCUCUCUGCCACUGCCUUACUCCCUUCAAACCCGGCGGCUACUGUCGCCGCCAGCCACCACUGCCACGGUAUCCCCUCUGUAGGCCUCGCAUCUGCCUGCCUCUCGUUCCCUCUCUAAAUCAUGAAAAAUCCCCAAAAAUCCCUAGCUUUCUCCCCUUUCAAUUUCCGACGAGAUUACCGCCUGAACCACCAUCUUCUUCUUCAGUCGACAGCAACGGUCAGCCGGACCGCCGUCAUCCUCCCUCAUCUCUCAAGCCUCUAUCACCGUCUCCCUCUCGACUCCGAUGAGCAGCCGCUAUGAAUCCCCGCCGCCUUCACCGCUUCCCUCCAUACUAAUAUAAAGAUUCGAUUUUUCCUCUUCCCUUCCAUUUCUUCACUCGAGCUCCAUCCCUGCUCUCCAACAAGACUUCACUCAAAAGGGUAUGUGGAUAUCAACUCUUCCUUUCUGAAUUAAUGAAUCAAUNUUCAUUAACUGACAUUCCGGAGUUCACGGCGGUCGUGACCACGGUUCGAGCCAUUUUACGUGAGCUUCCAUCGUCCCCUGGCCUGUCGUGCCCAUCGUGCCCACGGGCGGGGGCAAUCGACCGUCGUGGGCACGGUCGCUGGUGUCGACGGGCACGAUGGUGCGAAGAAACGACGGGCACGAUGGUGCGACCACUGCUACAAAAAUACACAUACAUAACACUGCAUACAUAACGGGUUUUUUAAAAAACCGUUAUGUAUGAGCGCAUUUUUAUAAAAGUACAACGGUUUUUACAGAAAUCCAUUAUCUAUGUAGUGUUACUCAUAAGCAUAGAUAACGGUACGAAGUAAUUCGUUAUGAAUAAGCGUUAUCUAUUAGGUGCAUACAUAACGGUGUUAUCGAACCGUUAAGAUAACCGUUAUCUAUGAGCGUAUUUUUAUUAAUGGUUGUUUUAACCGUUAUGUAUGAGCGCUAAAUACUGUUAUGAUUACUUUUAUUAUUAUUUUAAUUUAACUUUAAUAAUAUUAUAAAAAUAAAAACCCUAAUUACAUAAUUCACCUUCUUCUCCAAAGUUUGAAGUCUCACCCACCACUCUCUCUCUCUCUCGCCGUACUCCUAUCUUCUUCUUCUCUCUGCCACAGCCUUACUCCCUUCAAACCCGGCGGCUACUGUCGCCGCCAUCCACCACCGCCAUGGUAUCCCCUCUGUAGGCCUCGCAUCUGCCUGCCUCUCGUUCCCUCUCUAAAUCAUGAAAAAUCCCCAAAAAUCCCUAGCUUUCUUCCCUUUCAAUUUCCGACGAGAUUACCGCCUGAACCACCCUCUUCUUCUUCAGUCGACAGCAACGGUCAGCCGUACCGCCGUCAUCCUCCCUCAUCUCUCAAGCCUCUAUCACCGUCUCCCUCUCGACUCCGAUGAGCAGCCGCUAUGAAUCCCCGCCGCCUUCACCGCUUCCCUCCAUACUAAUAUAAAGAUUCGAUUUUUCCUCUUUCCCUUCCAUUUCUUCACUCGAGCUCCAUCCCUGCUCUCCAACAAGACUUCACUCAAAAGGGUAUGUGGAUAUCAACUCUUCCUUUCUGAAUUAAUGAAUCAAUUGGUAGUUAGAUCGUUUAUUGAAGAAAUGGUUCGAAAUCUUGAUUUUGAUGGGAAACCCUUGAAUUGUUGCUGCCAGUUCAAUUGCCCCUUUUUAAGCUGUUGGAUCUUCGUGUUUGUGGCCGAUUAACCCUAAUCUAUCUGUGUAAGAAUUUAGAUGGAUUAUUACCUGUUGUGGGCAGGAAAUGAUUUGGAUGCCCAUAAAUGUGCUAAUCUUACUUGUUUUUUGAUCUUUUUGUGAUGUUAUUCGAGAUGAUAAUGAAGUAUGUUGUCAAAAUAAGUUCUUACUAGUGUGUAUCUAGCUGGAGAGUCAGUUUGUACUAGUUAAUUGCAAAUUAUGUUGGUUAAUGAUAACUAGAUAUCUCUAGUAAUGGUCCAAUAUUUAGUGAAGAACCUGUAUCCUCUGUGACAAUUAGUUUGAAUGUUAAGAUACUUUAGCAUUUGACAUUCUAUUUUUAUUGAGUUAUCCUUUAAAUUUGUAGGUUAGUUUAGAUGAGAUUCAUGUCAAGAUUAAUGGAAAAUUAUUCUGAUUUUGUUGUGUUAUGGUGCUCCUAAUUUCUUACAUGUAGAUUUAUUGGCUCUCUGUUAUAAUUCCAUCUUUUCCUUUAUGAAAUUGAAAAUUUAUGAUUGGAUUGGAUAGGAUAGGAAUCAUGAUUGUAUUCAAAAUUAAUUAAUAAUGCAGGUCACAUCAUUUUAUAGUUACUGGUUAGGGUUUACAACAGUACUGGAAUUCUUUUGGGCGGAUCAAUAUGAUGCUAUGGCUGGCCCAAACAGGAAGUGACAUUGGUUACUUGUCAGCAGAUGAUGGAGUGAGUAAAUUACAGGAGCAAUUUGAGGGAGGGCUUGGUAUUCAAGAAGACGAUAGUGAUGAUGGGCAGAAUGAGUUCAGUGGAGCAGUGGAGUUUGAGGAUCGUAAAGAUUUCAGUGGAAGGAAUGGAGUGGCCGAAGGAAUGGGACCAGAGGUAAAAGAUGAUGACGACAAUGAUGAUGGUGAUGAGGUGAGUAUCUUUGAAAAUGUUGUCAUUACUAUUUUUGAUAGAUCUAAUGAAUAUGGAAAGCUCGGUCAAAGAUGCUUGAGUAUGUGAUUGUUGUUGAGAUAAUAUUUGGUUGAGUGUAGGCACAAAGUGAGCUAGAUGAGGAUCAUUGCUAGUUGACUUGUAGGCACUAUGUUGUAUCACAAGCUAGUAAAUCUACUUUCUUAUUAGCCUUGUGUCAAUUAAAAGUCAUUUAGCUAGAGAACAUUUGAGGAGUGAGCUAUCUAUUCUACGACAGCAUGAACUAACAAAAAAAAAUGUAGAAACCAAGAACUUCUUAAUUAAUUAAAUACUUUAGAUAUUUUUUGAUUGUUGCCAUACAAGUUUAAUGAUGAUUGGUAUGCGCGGUGCUUCUCAAGUGUUCAGUUCAAAUUUUGUACUAUUACGUAAUUUGAGUUAAGAAGAUAGUCCUUUAUGCUUGAGUUUUAUGGGAUUUGUGGCUGAAAUCUUCCAGAAACUGCUAUUGUAUGUCACUGUGGUAUAAUUUUUAGUAUAGGUUUUGUUAGAUUUGCUUUAUUAGCUGCAGUUUAUAAUAGUACGAGAAAUCCAAUCGCUCACAAUUAUCUUGCCACCAUAUGAAGCAGGGAUCUGGACAUUUGUAGUUAACUUUUUAAUAAUUUGAUAUGUGAAGUGUUUAUCCUAUCUGCACUAUAAUAGCUUUUCCUAGACUAAGAUGAUUGGUCUUCCUUAAUUCCUUAAUUUACUAUCUGCACUAUAAUAGCUUUGUCUAUGUGGAAAGCCUACACUUUUUAGAAUUGAGGUUUCUGAUGCUUCAUAGUAUACUUACUAAACUGCUCGUGCAUGAGUUUUUUGAGGAACAUGCUUUCUUUUUCUUUCUUUCUUUUUUACUCGAUUUCUUUGUAUAAUAAUGAAAUACUUGUUUACUUUUUCUUUCUUUUUUACUCGAUUUCGGUCAAGCUUUAUUAGUUGAAAUGCAUCUCAAUGCAGGAAACAUGGAUAAAGAGGAACAGGGUGUUUACUGUUUUAUUAGCUUCAUUUUUGAUGAAAUAGACAAUAUAUAGCUGUAACUUGUAAACCCUCUCUUUCAGAAUUAGAAUUAUAGUAGGCUCUUACAGUUCUAUGACCCGAAAGAUGUAUAUUUACUCUUCUUUAUGUCCUGUAAUGCAAGAUACUGGUUUCAGUGUUGCUGCAAGUUACUUAAACGAUACUCCUGCUCUGAAGAAGGCUGAUAUUGGAAGUGCCGUUCCUUUUCAGAUCGUCGUUCGUCUGUCCGUCGGCAACUCACGCACACCGCACACGGUAAGCCCUCUCUUUCAGAAUUAGAAUUACAGUAGUCUUUUUCUUAUGUUUUUGGAAUUAGAAUUACAGAUUUGCUUGAAUUUGUUUCGAAUUUUACUCUGUUAUUGUAGUUGGGUACAAGGAAUAUAGCUUAGUUUCAUCUUCUUUGCUAAACUUAAUCAUGUGAAGCUUUUAUUAUUAAAUGAAAUAUAAAGUAUUUUCAUAGGACUAGCAGAUAGCUUGAAAUUUGAUAUUUUGGUACUUUGAUUUGGUAUCUAUUUUUUUAUAUUCAUAGCUCUGAUUUCAUGAAGCAUAGAUGGUGUGUAUGAUUUUUAGUUGUCAUUCUAGCUAGGCAUUGACAUUGAACAACGUGAUGAAAUCUUGAAACCAAAUUGCCAUGUUUUGCAGGUGAACUCGGGUUGGCUAUGUUUUGCAGGUGAACUCGCUCGUGUUGGUGGAGGGUAAUCUUCUUCUCAUUUUAACAAUAUAGAUAGAAUAUUGAGAUCUUGAAGAUUACUUAUGUGUUUUUUGUAAAACCUUUUACCAAAAUAUUGAAUCCAAACCAAUGUCUUGCUUUUGAGAAAAUCAUUCAUCAUAUUUAUAUAUCUAUCAAAUUUGAUUUAGAUUCUGCAUUCUAUUAUAUUACUAUGCAUCAAUAUUUGAUAUAACUCACAUGUUGCCGGAUUUUUUUAAUUCUCCAGCUCAUUAGUGUAAUUGAGUUUAUCAUCUUGGCGGAUCAAGUAGAUGGGAGUCGAUGAGCUAUGAGGACUACUACAAAAGAGAAGGCUGAAGCAGAGAACGUCGUUUCAAAUGUCUAGCAAGUUGCGCGCAUUUGUAAUAUUUUUUAAUUAAUCAUAUAGCUAACUAGAAUAUUUGUGUUGUUUUCAUUAUAUUUGGAUGAUAAUGUAUGAAUAUUUCAGAUGUUAUAUAAUAUAUGUUAUCGAUGGCAA
rnacentral:lncRNA from 1 species